GUGCAGGAUGGCGUCCUAGUCAAAUGCUUGGAAACUAGCUGUUUUGAAUUCAUUUCUCUUUAUUAACGUUCACCAGCUUUAUGCUUCAGAUUUUAAGGUCAUUGCAGCUAUGGGAGAUUUGUUUACAGUUGGCCAAGGAGCAAGAGCAACAUCAGUAAAUGGAUUUUUCUUGGAUUACAAAGAUUUCUCAUGGAGGUAAAAAUAUUUUUAUUGCUGAUGUUAAUUACUUUUGGUUUAAAAAUUGAUAUAAAUAACUGUAUGUUUGAACACCAGUCCAGGAAAAUUUUAGAAAUUAAAAAUACCAUGAAAUAAAAAGUAAAGCUUCAGUUUAUACAGUCCCAAGUGGCCCAUGGGGCCAGGGCUUAUACAGGCCCAAGUGGCCCGUGGGGCUGGCGCUUAACUCUGCUUUCCUUUAGCAUGAAGUGGCUAGGAGUGUUGCUACUCCCCCCUGGAUGGGAUGCUAGUCCAUCACAGGGUUACCCUCAGCAUAUUUGUUGGUACCCAUUUGUACACCUGGGUGAAGAGAAGCACUGUGGAAGUAAAGUGUCUUGCCUAAGAACAUAACACAACCCUGGCCAGGGCUCAAACCUGGACCACUUGAUCUGGAUUCAAGCGCGCGAACCAUGAGGCCAUCCCGCCUCUUACACCAUGAAAUAAAGUAUCAGAAAAAAAAGGGUAAUUCAGAUUUGUCAUCUUAGUUUAUGGACCAUUGCCUUCAACAUGAAAGAGCUUUUCCCCAACUUAAAGGUAUUCCUCCUAGGAAUCUACCAAACAGAAAAGGAGGGGUUGAAUUAAAUCUCAGAUCAAAGUGAUCUUGAUUAAAACUGGUUUCAACAGAUUGAUAUGAUUUUACAUUUGUUCAAGUUUCAUUAACCCUUUAACUCCCAUGGGUGACCAAGACAGAAUUUCUCCUUACAAUAUCAAUACAAUAUCAAUACAAUAUCAAGCAAUUAAUUAUGUUUAAGUCUGACAGACCAUUUGGGUGUUUAGACUUUUUGUUUGUUUGUUUUUUGUUAUGAUAGGCUGUUAGGAAAGUCUAUAGUUUGACUUACUAUUGUUUUGUUUUUUUUGUAACUGCUUUGUACUGUGAGCAUUGUGUUGUUUAUAGCAAUCAUUAUAGGCACACUUCCGCAUAUCACUAAAAGUACUGACAUCAACAUUUUCCCUUCGCAACAAACUUUCUUGAGUUGAUGUAUCCCUGUUGAUUUUUAACUACGAAGGCAUUUUUUUUUAUUUAUCUGAGUUACUAAUCUUUUGUGAUUGAAUAUUUGAAGCACAUAAUCCAGGAACAAGAUCUGCUUAAAGAAUCCGCUCCUCACGUUGAGGAAGUUAAUUCUUUUGUAGUAGGUUCAAUUUCAGUGUCAUAUUUCUUGUAAUUCUGAACAGUGUUUAACUUAUCAUGCCAAUCAGUAACAUGUUCCUUUGCGUAUGGGGUUUCUAAAAAUAUUUGAUUCAGUGAUGUAAAUUUUAUCAAUACCUGGUUGACUACCCCAAGCAUUUUCUUGGGUUCCCUGCCAGGGUUUAUAUACGAUCAGCUGAUAUUUACAGUAAAGGGACAAAUUUGGGCUUCUGUUAUUUGGAGAGUACACCGGAAAAACCCCAAGAACAAUAUUAUCUGCCUGUGCUGCAAGUUUUUUUGUUGACAAAUUUGUACUUUGUAGCAAAAGUAAUGAAAAUUGAAUUCAGCAUAUUGGGAAUUCCUUUAGCAUACGCAGCACGGUUAGCAUAAAUAUCAAGAAGUUAAUCAUUUGUUCUUACACCUUCAGGAGAAUUUGCUUUUAUUUUAUGAGAUCCAUUUAAACUAAUGGGUAUUCCACUGGAUGAGCUGACCAAUUUCAGUGACAGUAAAUAAUGCAUUGUUUCUUGUGCAGAAAAGUCCCUUUGCCCAAGUGACUUCAUUACUACCUUUUAAUCAGUUUUGUGGGAUUGCUUUCAAUGUUACAGUUACGGACAGUGGAAUUGAAUGCAGAUUUCAUGAUAGAGGAACGUGGCCCACCUUUUGAUGGAUAUUUGGCAAGGUAUAUUCAACACAGGCAUGAUAAUCAAUGACUACCUGAAUGUCACAGUCAGCUCUCCAGCCCUGCAGUUGAAGACGUUGGUGAUUAUCAAGUCUAGCGUCAUUUCUCUUUGUUACUAUCUUCACGUUGUAUUGUUUAGGUUUUUUUUUAAUGUAUAGGCUCAAAUUGAAGCUUUAUACAUGAGCAAGGUUCAAGUGGAAAGUUAAACCUACUCUGAAGGUCUGAAUCAUUUUGUCUUUUUCUAAGACAGUAAUUAGAACUGCAGUGAGUGUGUCGUUGGACAGUAUUUAGUAAAUCAAUGUAAUCAUUAUCAGUAUUCUUUAUGUCAUUGUGAUGUUUCUGACAAAGAUGAAUUGACGGUUUUUUCCAAGUACCAUUGUCUGAAGGGUUUGGAUGGUAUGUGGAUACCAACAAGUUCACAUACUAGCAGACAAUCUCUGAUGCUUUUAUACCAUCACAACUCUGUCGAUUUAGUUCUGAUAAAUCAGCUGGGUCUGCAUUAUUUACUGGCAUCUCAGCUAAAUAGCCUUUAAGAGCUUUUUCAAACAGUGUACAUAGCCCUGGAUCAUUUUCAAGUUUAGCGACUCUAUGGCCAUGGAUAUCUCCCCUUGCUUGGUAUUCAAAUCUGUACCAGUGCCACUCUGCAUCCAGUGAAUUAUACAACCAAAACUUGAUAAAAUUUUCCAAGCGUCAAGUUAAAAACCAAUCAGUAAUAUGAAGAUUGCUUAUAACAUUCUGAUGCAUGUGCUCAGCUGUGCGAUUAUUUUCACCACCAAAGAGUGCAUGUAAUUCAGGCCAGUGCAUAUCAACUGAUGAAAAUGUAAAAUAAAGUUGGUGG